CUCUGGGCAUGCGCAGAUCGCGCCGCGCGGGGGGAGAAGGGGAGAGCUGCCGCCUCCAGGUGUGUGACUGACGUCAGGGCCCUUAUCGUACUGAGCGUGGCUCAGGCCUUGCCUGAGAUCAGGUCCGCCCGUGUGCCGGGCGCUGCACAAACCCUGACUGAGUUUGGGGCACUCAUUGUGCCAGGCCCUGCAUCAACACCAAGUGAAAUCAGGCUCCCAUUGUGCCAGGCCCCGCAGAGACCCCAAGCGAGAUCAGACCCCACUGUUAUGCCAGGUUACAGAAUAACGUCCACGUUUCGCUCCA